GUGGGGAAUCUUCCGCAAUGGACGAAAGUCUGACGGAGCAACGCCGCGUGAGUGAUGAAGGUCUUCGGAUUGUAAAGCUCUGUUAAUCGGGACGAAAGAGCCUAGUGUGAAUAAUGCUAGGAAGUGACGGUAACGGAAUAGAAAGCCACGGCUAACUACGUGCCAGCAGCCGCGGUAAUACGUAGGUGGCAAGCGUUGUCCGGAAUUAUUGGGCGUAAAGCGCGCGCAGGCGGAUCUGCCAGUCUGUCUUAAAAGUUCGGGGCUUAACCCCGUGAUGGGAUGGAAACUACAGAUCUAGAGUAUCGGAGAGGAAAGUGGAAUUCCUAGUGUAGCGGUGAAAUGCGUAGAUAUUAGGAAGAACACCAGUGGCGAAGGCGACUUUCUGGACGAAAACUGACGCUGAGGCGCGAAAGCCAGGGGAGCGAACGGGAUUAGAUACCCUGGUAGUCC
rnacentral:rRNA from 1 species